UGAAGUGUAGCUUUUUCUCUGAAAUUAAGGAGAUGGAAGAUUAAAAAGGUGGAAGAUACCGAAGAUGAUUUUUCUUUCUUUUUUUCACCAAGACCCCACGCACGUGAUUGAGUUCACAAAAGGUUCUUCAUUUUCACUUUCGCAAUAGAACACGAAGGCUGAGCACAACGUGAGAACGUGUUCAUCUUGAUUUUUUGUGUCUUGUCGUUUUCUUGCAACUUUUUUAUAUACUGAUCGAAGCCUCUUCCUCUCUUUUUUUGAACUUAUUGUAAAAUCUAUUUUAGCAUGAUCU